AACGUAGGAGACAAGCGUUAUCCGGAGUUACUGGGCGUAAAGGGCGUGCAGGCGGAUACGUAAGAUUGGUGUGAAAGCGCCUGGCUUAACCGGGCGAGGCCACCGAAGACUGCGUGUCUAGAGGACGGUAGAGGGGUGUGGAAUUCCGGGUGUAGUGGUGAAAUGCGUAGAGAUCCGGAGGAACACCAGAGGCGAAGGCGGCACUCUAGGCCGUACCUGACGCUGAGACGCGACAGCACGGGGAGCAAAC
rnacentral:rRNA from 1 species